rnacentral:rRNA from 1 species
AUUGAACGCUGGCGGCAGGCCUAACACAUGCAAGUCGAGCGAGCGGCGGACGGGUGAGUAAUGUAUGGGGACUGCCCGAUAGCGGGGGAUAACUACUGGAAACGGUGGCUAAUACCGCAUACUAUCGGAUAACCCAUAUGGGAUUAGCUAGUGGGUGGGGUAAAGGCUCACCUAGGCGACGAUCUCUAGCUGGUCUGAGAGGAUGAUCAGCCAAACUGGGACUGAGACACGGCCCAGAAGCCUACGGAGGCAGCAGUGGGGAAGAUUGCACAAUGGGCGCAAGCCUGAUGAAGCCAUGACGCGUGUAUGAAGAAGGCCUUAGGGUUGUAAAGUACUUUCGGUCGGGAGGCGUUACCGACAGAAGAAGCACCGGCUAACUCCGUGCCAGCAGCCGCGGUAAUAC